rnacentral:tRNA from 1 species
AUUGUAAAAGCAUAAUAUUGCUUAAAAUUUAGGAUUUUAGAUUAUUUUUACAAUA